rnacentral:rRNA from 1 species
UGGGGAAUUUUGGACAAUGGGCGCAAGCCUGAUCCAGCCAUGCCGCGUGCGGGAAGAAGGCCUUCGGGUUGUAAACCGCUUUUGUCAGGGAAGAAAUCUUCUGAGUUAAUACCUCGGGAGGAUGACGGUACCUGAAGAAUAAGCACCGGCUAACUACGUGCCAGCAGCCGCGGUAAUACGUAGGGUGCAAGCGUUAAUCGGAAUUACUGGGCGUAAAGCGUGCGCAGGCGGUUUUGUAAGACAGAGGUGAAAUCCCCGGGCUCGACCUGGGAACUGCCUUUGUGACUGCAAGGCUUGAGUGCGGCAGAGGGGGAUGGAAUUCCGCGUGUAGCAGUGAAAUGCGUAGAUAUGCGGAGGAACACCGAUGGCGAAGGCAAUCCCUGGGCCUGCACUGACGCUCAUGCACGAAAGCGUGGGGAGCAAACAGGAUUAGAUACCCUGGUAGUCCACGCCCUAAAACGAUGUCAACUGGUUGUUGGGAAGGUUCCUUCUCAGUAACGUAGCUAACGCGUGAAGUUGACCGCCUGGGGAGUACGGCCGCAAGGUUGAAACUCAAAUGAAUUGACGGGGU